GAUGAACGCUGGCGGCGUGCCUAAUACAUGCAAGUCGAGCGAACGGACGAGAAGCUUGCUUUUCUGAUGUUAGCGGCGGACGGGUGAGUAACACGUGGAUAACCUACCUAUAAGACUGGGAUAACUUCGGGAAACCGGAGCUAAUACCGGAUAAUAUUUUGAACCGCAUGGUUCAAAAGUGAAAGACGGUCUUGCUGUCACUUAUAGAUGGAUCCGCGCUGCAUUAGCUAGUUGGUAAGGUAACGGCUUACCAAGGCAACGAUGCAUAGCCGACCUGAGAGGGUGAUCGGCCACACUGGAGCUGAGACACGGUCCAGACUCCUACGGGAGGCAGCAGUAGGGAAUCUUCCGCAAUGGGCGAGAGCCUGACGGAGCAACGCCGCGUGAGUGAUGAAGGUCUUCGGAUCGUAAAACUCUGUUAUUAGGGAAGAACAUAUGUGUAAGUAACUGUGCACAUCUUGACGGUACCUAAUCAGAAAGCCACGGCUAACUACGUG
rnacentral:rRNA from 1 species